GACCGUAGCUGGAAAUUGUGUUCUACUAUGUGACUUGUCUCUAAGUGUUUCAGGCCUUUUUAAUGUUAUUUCUUGCUUAACUAUACUUAUGUACUUAUGUAUGAUGAUCAUGGACUAUAUUUCCUCUAGUAUGUUUUUCCCAUACUCGUUUAAUUGACCAAAUUACCGAAUGUGACUAACUCACCUAGCAAAAGAUCUAAUAAACGGGAAAUGAUAAGGGGUUGGCAAUGGGUGACGUUUAUCUUAGUGUUUUAGAACAAUUUUAUACAUAUGCAUGACAUGAAUUAUGAUGGGGUUAAUACCAAAUGAGUUAAGUCUUGCGUAAGCAGUUUAAGCGAGCCCCUGGGUUGACCUGGAUGUAUUCAGACUCUAUGCGGCGGUUUCAGGGUGUAAACGAGCCCUUUGGUAUGGUAUGUGCAGGGUGUAAGCAAGCCCUUUGGUAUGGUAUGUGCAGGGUGUAAGCGAGCCCUUUGGUAUGGUAUGUGCAAGGUGUAAGCGAGCCCGAGGCACGAGUUGGGUGUAAGCGAGCCCGAGGCACGAGUUGGGUGUAAGCGAGCCCACUUGUUGGUCGUCCCUUUUAAGGUCCAUCAAUGCCACUGACAGGUAAAUAAUCAGAAGGUGGGCAUAGGUGGUAAGGUCUGCAAAGCAGCAAAAGGGAGAGUUUUGAAUAGUCUGGUGUUCAAUCCUUGUGGUUGGGUAGAAGGAUCUCUUUGGGGGGUCCUAAAUGCCUAGUCUAACUACUGAUUUAUAAAACCUUAAUGUGAAGAAGCAGCUUACGACGGGGAAGGUUAUCCCGAAGACAAUCAAGAUGAAGUUUUAGAGCCGUGGUUCACUUGAAAAUUUAGACUAGUAGUUUGUUUUUGUGUUCUCUUUUCUUUUACCUUUUGGUUUGACAAUAUUUGUAAACCUCUAGUGGAACUCAAAUCAGUUAUCCAUGUUAUAACUCCGCUUGUAUGUGUAUAUUAACGUAUUGUGGUUAUCUAUUUUGUUUGAGUUGUACUUUAUAUAUUUCUCUUGCGGUCUCAAA